rnacentral:rRNA from 1 species
AUGGAGAGAACUACACCAAAAAAAUUGAAGGAGACGUACGGGCCUGACGCUGAUCCUCACGUGCUACCGUUUGACCCUCUUGUGGCCAUUGCCGCGGCAGUCGGUAGACCGAAUGGCCGGAUGGCGGUUCACCUUGAUUCUGUCAUAACCUCCUCCCUUCCGAGAGUCAACACGCUCCGUGCUAUGAGUACUAGCUCUACUCCUACCGUAGAGCGUCACUUACCACAUUCCGUGAGCAUUAUUGAGGAUAUUCAGGUCAGUGCUUCUUCAUUGAUCCUUCAUGGUCCUGCAUAUUUGCAUUUCAACAUGAAUGACAUUUGCAUUGCCAUAUUGUAG